GAUGAACGCUGGCGGCGUGCCUAAUACAUGCAAGUCGAGCGAACGGACGAGAAGCUUGCUUCUCUGAUGUUAGCGGCGGACGGGUGAGUAACACGUGGAUAACCUACCUAUAAGACUGGGAUAACUUCGGGAAACCGGAGCUAAUACCGGAUAAUAUUUUGAACCGCAUGGUGCAAAAGUGAAAGACGGUCUUGCUGUCACUUAUAGAUGGAUCCGCGCUGCAUUAGCUAGUUGGUAAGGUAACGGCUUACCAAGGCAACGAUGCAUAGCCGACCUGAGAGGGUGAUCGGCCACACUGGAACUGAGACACGGUCCCGACUCCGACGGGAGGCAGCGGUAGGGAAUCUUCCGCGAUGGGCGAAAGCCUGACGGAGCAACGCCGCGUGAGUGAUGAAGGUCUUCGGAUCGUAAAACUCUGUUAUUAGGGAAGAACAUAUGUGUAAGUAACUGUGCACAUCUUGACGGUACCUAAUCAGAAAGCCACGGCUAACUACGU
rnacentral:rRNA from 1 species